rnacentral:rRNA from 1 species
GGGUUGUGAGGUUAAGCGACUAAGCGUACACGGUGGAUGCCCUGGCAGUCAGAGGCGAUGAAGGACGUGCUAAUCUGCGAAAAGCGUCGGUAAGGUGAUAUGAACCGUUAUANCCGGCGAUGUCCGAAUGGGGAAACCCAGUGUGAUUCGUCACACUAUCGUUAACUGAAUACAUAGGUUAACGAGGCGAACCGGGGGAACUGAAACAUCUAAGUACCCCGAGGAAAAGAAAUCAACCGAGAUUCCCCCAGUAGCGGCGAGCGAACGGGGAGCAGCCCAGAGUCUGAAUCAGCUUGUGUNUUAGUGGAACGGUCUGGAAAGUCCGACGGUACAGGGUGAUAGUCCCGUACACCAAAAUGCACAGGCUGUGAACUCGAAGAGUAGGGCGGGACACGUGGUAUCCUGUCUGAAUAUGGGGGGACCAUCCUCCAAGGCUAAAUACUCCUGACUGACCGAUAGUNAACCAGUACCGUGAGGGAAAGGCGAAAAGAACCCCGGCGAGGGGAGUGAAAAAGAACCUGAAACCGUGUACGUACAAGCAGUGGGAGC